UACGUAGGAGGCAAGCGUUAUCCGGAAUUACUGGGUGUAAAGGGAGCGUAGACGGUAAUGUAAGUCUGGAGUGAAAGGCGGGGGCCCAACCCCCGGACUGCUCUGGAAACUAUGUUACUAGAGUGCAGGAGAGGUAAGCGGAAUUCCUAGUGUAGCGGUGAAAUGCGUAGAUAUUAGGAGGAACACCAGUGGCGAAGGCGGCUUACUGGACUGUAACUGACGUUGAGGCUCGAAAGCGUGGGGAGCAAACAGG
rnacentral:rRNA from 1 species